UGCCAUCAAGUGCUGAAGACAAUUGGCAAU
rnacentral:piRNA from 1 species